GUGUCAGCCGCCGCGGUAAUACGUAAGGUCCGAGCGUUGUCCGGAAUCAUUGGGCGUAAAGGGUACGUAGGCGGGUAAGCAAGUUAGAAGUGAAAUCCUAUAGCUCAACUAUAGUAAGCUUUUAAAACUGCUCAUCUUGAGGUAUGGAAGGGAAAGUGGAAUUCCUAGUGUAGCGGUGAAAUGCGCAGAUAUUAGGAGGAAUACCGGUGGCGAAGGCGACUUUCUGGCCAUAACCUGACGCUGAGGUACGAAAGCGUGGGUAGCAAACAGGAUUAGAUACCCGCGUAGUCC
rnacentral:rRNA from 1 species